UGAGGAACAUGACCUUCGGCGGGGGAUAGCCGGCCCAACGGCCGGGUAAUACCGCGUACGACCUUUCGGGGACAUCCCCGGAUGGUGAAAGCAGCAAUGCGCCGAUGGAGUGCCUCGCGGCCUAUCAGCUAGUUGGUGAGGUAACGGCUCACCAAGGCAACGACGGGUANCUGGUCUGAGAGGAUGGCCAGCCACAUUGGGACUGAGACACGGCCCAGACCUCCGUACGGGAGG
rnacentral:rRNA from 1 species